rnacentral:lncRNA from 1 species
UGUUAAUGUCCCCAAUAGCUCGAUAGGUCGAGUUGAGGUGUGAUUGAAGUUUCGAUGACGAAACUUUUUUUAAGUGUGGUGGAAUGUAAUAUACCAGAUUUUUAAUAUAAAAAUAAAUAUAAAUAAAAAUAGUACGAGAUACUAUUUUUAUUGGAUUUAGAGAAGUGAAAUAUAGGUUGGGAAUGACCUGUGCUGAAAUCGGAGCGAAAACAGAAGAUUUAGAAUUUUCUGUAAGAAACGGGGCUGAUAUUUUAGCAGAAAAUUCACAGUGUCAGAAAAUUAUGAAAAUUUAAAAAUAUGUCGGGAUUAUUUUUAUGAGGUUAAAUUUAAAGUUUCAUGUUAUUCCGACACCCGAAAAAUAAAAAAUAAAAUCCGACUGCUAUCUGCUAGAGAUUUUAAUU